GGCCCGCUCCUCCUUUCAGUGAGUGUUUCCGGAGCGCCUACUGUGUGCUCCUCCAUGGGGGUGGGGGCACUACCAGGCACAAAGGGUGCCAGUCCCCGUACCUUUGUAAGUUCGCCUCCUCCUCUGGGAGCUUGCCCUUGUGGGGAUGGGGAAACUGAGGCUCAGUCGGCUCAGAGUAACUCCCAGGUGCUAAGGGACCAGUUGUUUUGUCCGCUCAUAAGGCAAACGGCGCGGCGAAGACCACUUGGGAUAAAACCCCAAGCCUAGCGCAGAUGGUCGGCCAGGGGAGCCUCUGGUGGGCAGUCACAAGCCCACGGAUUCCACCAGUGACCCCAGGCCUGCUCACAUGAGUGACGUGUUCCUCCCCAUGGCCAGCAGCAGAGCGGACUGAAUGCUGGGUGACAGGCUGGCCUCAGACUCCGGUGCUCAAGGAUAUUCUUGCUUCAGGUUCCCAAAUAGCACUGCACACGUGAAUCCCCAUGCCUGAUGCCCGGCUGAAGGCUCUCGAAAUCGUGAGGAAAGAAACUGGGAGCAGUUGAAAGAAACCUACACCGCCAGCGACUUACAGGUUUCACAUCAGUUUGAAGUGGGAGACACAGUCCUGGUGAGGAGGCACCAAGCGGGGAACCUCGAGCCGCGUUGGAAAGGACCCUCCCUGGUACUAUUAACUACAGCCACCACCCUUAAAGUAGAAGGAAUCCCCUCUUGGGUUCAUGCCUCACAUGUUAAGAGGGCUCCCCCUGAGACUGAUCGUGAUGAGUGGACCCUGGAAAAGACUAAUAAUCCUCUUAAGUUGCGCUUGCGUCGCAAGAGCGACUCAGAACAGAGACAUCAACCCUCAUACUCCAAUUCAACAAUCAUGGGAAGUGCUU
ensembl:lincRNA Gm14230 predicted gene 14230